CAAGGAAAUUGAUAGUAAAAGGAAAAUCCGUCGACUUUAGAAAUCGUGAGGGUUCAAGU
rnacentral:tRNA from 3 species